AGUGAACGCUGGCGGUAGGCCUAACACAUGCAAGUCGAACGGCAGCACAGUAAGAGCUUGCUCUUACGGGUGGCGAGUGGCGGACGGGUGAGGAAUACAUCGGAAUCUACUUUUUCGUGGGGGAUAACGUAGGGAAACUUACGCUAAUACCGCAUACGACCUACGGGUGAAAGCAGGGGAUCUUCGGACCUUGCGCGAUUGAAUGAGCCGAUGUCGGAUUAGCUAGUUGGCGGGGUAAAGGCCCACCAAGGCGACGAUCCGUAGCUGGUCUGAGAGGAUGAUAGACACACUGGAACUGAGACACGGUCCAGACACCUACGGGAGGCAGCAGUGGGGAAUAUUGGACAAUGGGCGCAAGCCUGAUCCAGCCAUACCGCGUGGGUGAAGAAGGACUUCGGGUUGUAAAGCCCUUUUGUUGGGAAAGAAAAGCAGCAGGUUAAUACCCCGCUGUUCUGACGGUACCCAAAGAAUAAGCACCGGCUAACUUCGUG
rnacentral:rRNA from 1 species